AGGAGAACCCCUGAGUCCCAUCAGUGAAAAAGGUAAUGGACCGGGGAGUUUGCUGUGGGAAAUUCUGCCAUCUGCUCCAGCCAAUUAGCCCAUCUCAUGGACCCAGCCCUGGACAAUACCCAAUCUGUAGGCUGCCGGAACUGCUGGCCAACACCAACCAGAGCAUCGUGAGCCCUGUUCUCAGAGAAUGUACGAUCUGGUGAGGAAAGGAGGCAGCAGAGACAUAGCUGAGCCGGCAAAUCCAGGCUCUGAGCGCCUUCUCCCUGCCUCCUGGGGAUGCCCCUCUGACACAGACGCAGGCCAGCCAUACUCACGUCAGCCAGCCUUCUUUGGGGAAUGAGCAGGGGUCUCUGCUCUGAGGCAGCGCAGCAGACCCCAGCCUCCUGCGACCCACACACAGCACCAUGAAACGCUCAAAGCCCACGACAGUGGCAAACACCUUUCUUCAUUAUUAUUUUUUUCCUUGAGCUUGCUAAUUGAAUCAUUAAAAUUUUAUCGUCAUUUCACCAUGAA